rnacentral:rRNA from 1 species
GGCCAAGUUUUUAAGGGCGCACGGUGGAUGCCUUGGCACCAGGAACCGAUGAAGGACGUGGGAGGCCACGAUAGGCCCCGGGGAGUCGUCAACCAGGCUUUGAUCCGGGGGUGUCCGAAUGGGGAAACCCGGCAGUCGUCAUGGGCUGUCACCCGCUGCUGAACUCAUAGGCAGUGUGGAGGGAACGCGGGGAAGUGAAACAUCUCAGUACCCGCAGGAAGAGAAAACAACCGUGAUUCCGGGAGUAGUGGCGAGCGAAACCGGAUGAGGCCAAACCGUAUACGUGUGAGACCCGGCAGGGGUUGCGUGUGCGGGGUUGUGGGAUCUCUCUUCUGUUGUCUGCCGGCAACAGGACGAGUCAGAAACCGUUGAUGUAGGCGAAGGACAUGCGAAAGGUCCGGCGUAGAGGGUAAGACCCCCGUAGUCGAAACAUUAGCGGCUCGUUUGAGAGACACCCAAGUAGCACGGGGCCCGAGAAAUCCCGUGUGAAUCUGGCGGGACCACCCGCUAAGCCUAAAUAUUCCCUGGUGACCGAUAGCGGAUAGUACCGUGAGGGAAUGGUGAAAAGUACCGCGGGAGCGGAGUGAAAUAGUACCUGAAACCGUGUGCCUACAAGCCGUGGGAGCGUCGCGCAAGGACUUGUCCUUGCGUCGUGACUGCGUGCCUUUUGAAGAAUGAGCCUGCGAGUUUGCGGUGUGUUGCGAGGUUAACCCGAGUGGGGAAGCCGUAGCGAAAGCGAGUCCGAACAGGGCGCUGUAGUAGCACGCUCAAGACCCGAAGCGGAGUGAUCUAGCCAUGGGCAGGUUGAAGCGGAGGUAAGACUUCGUGGAGGACCGAACCCACCAGGGUUGAAAACCUGGGGGAUGACCUGUGGUUAGGGGUGAAAGGCCAAUCAAACUCCGUGAUAGCUGGUUCUCCCCGAAAUGCAUUUAGGUGCAGCGUCGUGUGUUUCUUGCCGGAGGUAGAGCACUGGAUAGGCGAUGGGCCCUACCGGGUUACUGACCUUAGCCAAACUCCGAAUGCCGGUAAGUGAGAGCGCGGCAGUGAGACUGUGGGGGAUAAGCUCCAUGGUCGAGAGGGAAACAGCCCAGAGCAUCGACUAAGGCCCCUAAGCGUACGCUAAGUGGGAAAGGAUGUGGAGUCGCACAGACAACCAGGAGGUUGGCUUAGAAGCAGCCACCCUUGAAAGAGUGCGUAAUAGCUCACUGGUCUAGUGA